rnacentral:lncRNA from 1 species
AAAAAAAACUAGUAGCAUAUAUAUUUAGUUUCCCCUCAAAAGUGAGCGUUGACCAAAGUAAUUACAUGAUUGAAUUCCACCAAGGAGGACGGCAAUGAUGUCGACUCCAUGUCCCAUAUCUCAAAUGCAAGUAGAAAGAGAAACAACUAGCUAAUGUGCCCCACCCAUCUCAUACUUUUUAGCUCUUCACAUCAUACAAAUCAUGUCAAUGUCAUUUACUUUUUUUUGUACGGGUAGAAACGGCUUAGAUUGGGGUUGGGCCUACCAGGGUGACUUGGGUCGAGUAUAAGAGGAGCAGGCCCAUAAUGUCACGGCGAGGCGUCCACUCGGGUAGAGGCAAAGUCGCUCAAGACCAACCAUGAUGGCGACCACGCACUAACAAACAAAUGAAAGAACGACGUGUCUGGUAUUUCAGGAGGCACCAGCAAUCCUCGGCAGAACCACAUCUGACACACGUUAAUGGAUUGGCUACUCUCCAACGGCAUAAGGGCACAUGGCGUUCUCCCACUGAUCGCGAGUAAUGCUGCCGUCCUAUAAAUAGAGCCCCCUCCCCCCCUCUUCCCCAACCCCAACCCCAGCUCCAAUUGUAAAUGAUUUGAUUUUUGCUCAUCUUUAACAUAUAAGCAAUGAAAUAGUCUCUAACUUGGCUCUUAAGCUUCCUCUACUUUUCUCUAGGUGUUUUAGCUUCAGUCUGUGGCAGAGUCAGAAUUUUCAGUAAUGGGGUUUCACAAGUGAAUAUAUGAACUAAUCGAAGGAGGUUCAACACAGGGAUAGAUCCAAGAUUCUGAGGUAUCGGAUGUCAUGCCGUUCAAGUAGGAUUUGCGGGUCGAUUCUUUUAAUUUUGGGUUACAAUUUGAAUUAUUUAUUAUUUUUUUAUUUUAUAAACAAAUCAAUCAAAUACGUCUAGUGAGUUAUAUUCUUUUUUUUUUAGAUAUUCUUAGAUCAAAAACUCCUAAGUAGUUUAAUUUUUUUCGAUAUAAGAGGUUUUAUUCUUCAAAACUUUGAGAGAAAAAGAGAUUUUUCAUGUUAAAAAUUUAAAUUUUUAUAAACCAUAUGAUAUAGUUAUCUUAAUAUAUUCAUAUUUCAUUACCUUUAUAUGUUGAGAGUGUUGUUGCAGAUAUAUAAUUUGAAAGAAUUAAAAGUUAUAGCUUCAACUUAAUCAUCUUCACUUAGUUCAAACGAUCGAAAACUUUAAAUUUUAAUAUCUCUAACAUAAUAAUCAAGAUUUAAUAUGUUCUUAUUAAUAUUUAUGUGACGUUUAAGAUUUAAUACACAUUAAUUCACACAAAUACACAUGAAACACUAGUAUCAAGAGAAAGAUUUAGAAAAACAAGAAUUAAUUAAAGAAAAAUAACCCAUUUAAAUUAAUAAAAAAUAGCAAGUAAAUGAAAUUAAUGAAAAAAACUAAAAAGGAGAAUAAAAAGACAACUAAACCCUUGACACACAUUUAAGGAAAAAA